rnacentral:rRNA from 1 species
AUGUCUUGUGUUAAACCAUAUUUUAAAUUUGCAAGCUCGAUUUUUCUUCUGCUGUUUUCUCAUGCUUUGGCUUGUAAAACUAAAUUGGGACUUAGGGCCAGAGUUGAUAGAAGGUGCAAUCUCGGCCAUUUUUUUAUACGCGUCAGUUUAGACUCUUCAGAGCUAGAGCUAUUUUCUCAAUAUUUUCCUUUACCAUACCAGCAUAUGUAUGACAUGAGCUCUUACGUUUUCAAAACAUUGAGUCUGGGCUUAACUAAUUCUGUUGACAAAUCACUUUCUUAUCUUAAAGUAGAUCAGCGAUUGCUGGAGUUUGACAGAACAGUUAUUUUGUUGUUUUCCUUGGAUCAAGAUAUGGCAAAGCCCUUCAUGGGAUUAUUGGGAAACGUGCAACAAAUAUGGUGCCUUUUGUAA